rnacentral:rRNA from 1 species
UACGGAGGGUGCAAGCGUUAUCCGGAAUCACUGGGUUUAAAGGGUGCGUAGGCGGCCAGACAAGUCAGGGGUGAAAUAUCAUCGCUUAACGAUGAAAUUGCCUUUGAUACUGUUUGGCUUGAAACAGGUUGAGGUUGGCGGAAUGUGGCAUGUAGCGGUGAAAUGCAUAGAUAUGCCAUAGAACACCGAUUGCGAAGGCAGCUGGCUGGACCUGGAUUGACGCUGAGGCACGAAAGCGUGGGGAUCAAACAGG